UCCGUGAUUUUUUUCUCAAAAUUUACAGUUUUAACUUCAAAUCUUUUUUAAUAUAACUCCAAUCACCAUGAAAUUUUAAGAACUAUCUCUUUAUUCAUUUAGUUUCAAUUCUGAUAUCUAACACUUUUAUUUUUAUGAUUAUAAUUUGCUCUACACAGGUUAUAAUGAAUGUCACUGUAAGUUCCACUGUAGCGUGGAAUGGCUCAUAUGUACUUAUUCAAUUUAAGCUGCUAUAUCUAACUGUAUUAUGUAUUUUAUUUUGUAUGUAUUUUUGUCCAUUUUCUAUUUGUAUUAAUAGUUUUUGAAGGCCUCAUGGAAGAUUAACAUGUACAGGUAAUUGUUAAAUGUGUUACCUUAGUUAAAUAAAAAAUUUUAUAAUCAUUGCAAACAUAAAGUAAACAAGAACCAAACCAAACAAUGAAAAGCAACUAUAAUUGACCAAUGAAUUAUAAAAAUCUGUAUACAAAGUAUGAAGCCUCCAGGUCGACUAUAAACAGUUUAAUAGAAAUUGUGUAUGCUGAAAGCUAGUACAACAUUUUAAAAGCCUUGUUAUAUUUAUUUAUACUGACAUUUUUGAUUUUGGUUUUAAUAUAUAUUUUUUCAAUUUUUGGAGAAAAAACUUUUCAUUUAUUUGUUGUAACAAAGAACAUAUUGUUUGAGAUGAGAAAUUAAUCACUAUCUUAGUUCUACUUUACCUCAGUCUGUGAAAUCUUCAUUUUUUUUAUAUAAAAAAUGUAGAUUUAAUGAUAUAUAUACAGUUCUGGAAUCAAUUUGAUUACCAUAGAGGUACAUAUUAGUUUUUCAUUUGCUUUUCUUUAUCGGGUUUUACAAUAAAUUUUAUUUUAAAUUUGUCAAUUAUAAGAUUUUUUUUGGGGGAAAAAUACGAGAUAUAAACAACUACAAGGAUGUGUAUCUUUUUUUUUUUUAAUAUUUUCAAUGAUUGUGCAUAUUUUACUUUUACACGGGUUAUGCAGAUAUAGAUUAUGAACUAUAAAAGCAUUCAAUAUUAUUAUUUUGAUAUAACAAGAACUAAAACUAUAUAUAAUUUGUUAUGUUU
rnacentral:lncRNA from 1 species